GUCACAGAUCAGUGAUCCUCCACACGUCAGGUCACGUUCACCACCAGAAGAAGAAGAAGAAGAAGAAGAAGAAGAAGAAGAAGAAGAGCUUUUGUAACAUCAGCGUCUGUUCGAGGAUUCACAUUCACGUUAAAGAAGAAAUGGAGUAAGAAUCCACAACAGCACCGUAUGGUGUACCCAACCUGGGGUUAGUGGACGUUAACCCGGCCGUCAUUGAUCAGCUGUGAUCAGCUGUGAUCAGCUACCUGCCUCUGAUGGAUGGACGGAGAUCAACCCUAAAGAGGGCGUUUGCUGGAAUCGUGUGAGCUCGUGAGCAACCAGUUGUGAGCGAUCAUGUUUCGCAAUAGCCUGAAGAUGCUGCUGGGAGGCAAAAGUCGCAAGAACAACAGCAGUGGGGGCAGCAUCGAGUCAGAUGGGAGGAAGAUGGAGGGGUUUACUCAGUCUCUGCCCUCUUCUCCACUACUCAACCUCCGCCUGACAAAGAGACCAGGUAGGACUCUUUCUGUAGCUCUGUAGGUAUCAGCACCAGCACCUUUACUGUUAGCUAAUCAAUAAUAUUACCUAAAAUCAUGCUGCUUUGCUAAAGG
rnacentral:lncRNA from 1 species